ACCAGGCCAUAAUGCUAAAUAAAAGCCAGAAAGUGCCGGGAAAGCUUAGCAAGUCUGGUAGCAUCUGCGGGCAGAGGGACAGCGUUAACCUUUCGAGUCCGUUUCCAACGAGUCUUAGAUCCACAGGGUAAGACAAGACUCUUCAGAUGAGACUCUGAGAAGCAAACUGGCAAUAAGUACCAGAAGCUUCUGCGAAAUAGAUUGCAUUAUGAUAGAACAUAUAAAGAAGAAAAAGAAUGGAGUCAAUUAUCACGAUCUCCUGCUGUAGCUCUGAUAUACUUCAUGCAGUUGAGCUCUACAAUUAUUUCACUGACUGAAUGUAGUUGA